AAACCGUCAAGGUGGACAGUACUUACCUUGUUGGGUAGUGGGAUUUUAGUGAGGUGACAUGUGUGGGCAAGCUUUAUCAACAGCUUGUGUCAUGUUAUCCAUCCCAGAAGAUGCUAGGCACUACAAUGGAAAUGGAACAGGUCUCCAGUUAAACAGCGCGAGGAUUAUGAAGCUGGCGGAGAUACGGGCAGAUUUAGAAGGCCAUGCCGACCACCUUACAGAGAAAUUGCCGUGUCUAGGUGCCCACUCUAACUGUCAGAAAUCCUCAUACCAGCCUUUGUGGUCCUGGAAGGAGGCCUAUCUGUGGUAGAACAUUGAAUGAACGAAGGAAUCCAAGAGGCACACUGAGUGGGAGUGAGUUUUUGAGUACUGUGAAAUAGAUAGAGGUUAUACCUUCUCUCUUUCCCCUCCCCCUCCUCCUCUCCUU
rnacentral:lncRNA from 1 species